GGAAAUAAAAGUCGUAACAAGGUUUCCGUAGGUGAACCUGCGGAAGGAUCAUUAUUGUAUAACCGAGGUGCGAGGGCUGUCGCUGACCCGAAAGGUCGUGCACGCCCGAGUGCCCUCACACACAUCCAUCUCACCCCUAUGUGCACCACCGCGUGGGUCCCCCUAUGGCUUGUUCGGAGGGGGGCUUACGUUUUCACACAAACUUUGUAUGCAGUGUAGAAUGUAUUUUUUGUUUUUGCGAUCACGCAAUCAAUACAACUUUCAACAACGGAUCUCUUGGCUCUC
rnacentral:misc_RNA from 1 species